rnacentral:misc_RNA from 1 species
AAAAUACUGGAGAUUGAAGAGAGGUAUGUAUGGUUUGAGAUAAAUAAACCUUUUGUGUUUGGCUGCUGCAUUGCUUUUAUGCCAUUGCAUUUUACUAAGAAUAUAGGUAAAAGUUUUAUAAUUAGUUUACCGGAGUCAUUGCUAUGAAAGUGAUGAUUUAAUUCUCACCAUAAUUUGUCCAAUUGAAUUUGCCACAUUUCUAUGGUGGUCCUUUUUUUCGGCUGUGAUGCACGGAAACAGCAAGGGUCAACGUUUCCCCGUUCCAGAAAUGUUUCCAGCGCGGAAACGGCCAGACAUGGCAAGGAGACGUUUUGGGCCCGUUUCCUUAAAUUGCAAAAAUCAUAAAUGCAUUUCCAACCUCCGACAUGCAUUUUUUUUUAAGAAAAAAAAAAGCUUUAGGUUAAAAUACAACAGAUAGAAUAGAGCUGCACCACAGAGAAGAAGAAGAAGAAGAAGAA